rnacentral:siRNA from 1 species
UAGUAAGCGGUGUUCGUAGC